GUUAUGUUCGCCCGAGCCAGAGCUUACCAAAUUUUUUUUCAGCUAAUUAUGUUCGUCCGAGAUGUAAAUGAAUUAGGAUGGUUAGUUUUGUGAAUUGAAAAUUUGCGUGUUAGUAAUUUGAAGGAGCCCAAAUAACCCGAAUCGCACAACAAAUACUCCCAAUUACCAACAUGGUGAUCAAGAAAAACACCCACUCCUCCGACGAAGAAGACGACACCUUCUACUACCGCUACGCCACCGCAGCACCGCCGCCCACCACCACCUCCACCGCCCAAUCCACCUCCCGUUCCGGCAGCGGCGGCUUAGCCCCUUCUAAAUCCACCGUCUACAUCUCCAAUCUCGACUACACUCUCACAAACUCCGACCUCUUCACCAUCUUCUCCACCUUCGGCAAGGUCGCCAAGGUCACCAUUCUCAAGAACAGGCAGACCCGUGAGAGUCGUGGGGUUGCGUUUGUUUUGUUUGUUUCCAAAGAAGAUGCUGUGAGUGCUGUGAAGGGGAUGAAUGGGAAGGUAUUGAAUAAGAGGACUUUGAGUGCUUCGAUUGCGGCGGAUAAUGGGAGGGCCAAGGAGUUUAUUAGGAGGAGGGUUUAUAAGGAUAAGAGCCGGUGUUACGAGUGUGGGGAAGAGGGGCAUUUGAGUUAUGAGUGUCCGAGAAAUGUGUUGGGGAAAAGGGAGAGGCCGGAGCCGAAGAAAGUGAGGCGGUUCGAGGGGAAAAGAGGGAAUGUUGGUGAGGGUGAGGGGGAGGAGGGGGAGGGGGAUGAGGGGUUUGUGGAGGAGAAUUGGGCGUCGGUUGUGGAUUCGGAUGCAGAUGAGAGGUUGUUGAGGAAUGAGGAGGAGAGGGGGGUUGGGAAGACGGGGAAGCGGAAGAAAGUUGGGUAUUUUAGCGAUGAGAGCGGGGAUGAGGACUGAUGGGGUCAUGCAUUUUCUGAGAUGGCGACUAAAUCAAGCUCAAAUGGAUGACGGACUUGAUUGGAUCUCAUUUAUUGGUCCCUGAAAGUGACGUGAAGAUAAAUGACGAGUGCUUGCAUCAAGAACAUAAGGCAACAUGUGGAGAACUUUGUACUUGGUUUUCAAAGUGUGAUUGUUAUAUCAGGCUUGAUUACUUGAACUCGCUAUAAAACUUGGGGUCACAUUCAUUUGACUUCUGUGCAACGCUGCAUUGCCAUCAACUGCCGAGGAACUUACCUAAAAAGGCAGGUCGAGCUGUUGAAAUAAAGGCUGCAGUUGAAGUGCGGGUUCUACUUUAUGCCCUGCAAUUACACAAGGUGAGAAUUACUAGUUUUUGUCUUUAAAGAAUCAAGUAAUUUUGUAAAAUAUGCAGCCCAAAUUUUCAAAUGAAGAGAUGAAACUCAUAUCAAUGAAUUGCAUCUUUUGCUAGCUCCUGGUUAUAUCACAUUUCUUUGUGUAAUCAAAGAGGGACAAGUCAUCUGCCUGUUACCUGAUCACAUGUUACUUUCAUUUCCUUAUGCUCAGUCACCUCCAUCAUAGGUGGAAAUAUCAUCUAUAGAUGAAUGGGACUGUGUCUUUAGAACUGAUAUACUCCCUCUGUCCCGUCCGUUUAAUUCUAUACGUUUGCUUUCAACUGCUUGACACGUAUUUCAA